AGAGUUUGAUCCUGGCUCAGAUUGAACGCUGGCGGCAUGCCUUACACAUGCAAGUCGAACGGCAGCACGGGAGCUUGCUCCUGGUGGCGAGUGGCGAACGGGUGAGUAAUAUAUCGGAACGUGCCCUAGAGUGGGGGAUAACUAGUCGAAAGAUUAGCUAAUACCGCAUACGAUCUAAGGAUGAAAGUGGGGGAUCGCAAGACCUCAUGCUCGUGGAGCGGCCGAUAUCUGAUUAGCUAGUUGGUGAGGUAAAGGCUCACCAAGGCGACGAUCAGUAGCUGGUCUGAGAGGACGACCAGCCACACUGGAACUGAGACACGGUCCAGACUCCUACGGGAGGCAGCAGUGGGGAAUUUUGGACAAUGGGCGCAAGCCUGAUCCAGCAAUGCCGCGUGAGUGAAGAAGGCCUUCGGGUUGUAAAGCUCUUUUGUCAGGGAAGAAACGGUUCUGGUUAAUACCCGGGGCUAAUGACGGUACCUGAAGAAUAAGCACCGGCUAACUACGUGCCAGCAGCCGCGGUAAUACGUAGGGUGCAAGCGUUAAUCGGAAUUACUGGGCGUAAAGCGUGCGCAGGCGGUUGUACAAGACAGAUGUGAAAUCCCCGGGCUUAACCUGGGAAU
rnacentral:rRNA from 1 species